UGGGGGAUAUUGCACAAUGGGGGAAACCCUGAUGCAGCGACGCCGCGUGGGCGAAGAAGUAUUUCGGUAUGUAAAGCUCUAUCCGCAGGGAAGAAAAAAGACGGUACCUGACUAAGAAGCCCCGGCUAACUACGUGCCAGCAGCCGCGGUAAUACGUAGGGGGCAAGCGUUAUCCGGAUUUACUGGGUGUAAAGGGAGCGUAGACGGCAAUACAAGUCGGAAGUGAAAUACCCGGGCUCAACCUGGGAACUGCUUUGGAAACUGUAUGGCUGGAGUGCUGGAGAGGUAAGCGGAAUUCCUAGUGUAGCGGUGAAAUGCGUAGAUAUUAGGAGGAACACCAGUGGCGAAGGCGGCUUACUGGACAGUAACUGACGUUGAGGCUCGAAAGCGUGGGGAGCAAACAGGA
rnacentral:rRNA from 1 species